rnacentral:rRNA from 1 species
UACGGGGGGGGGCAAGCGUUGUUCGGAAUUACUGGGCGUAAAGGGCGCGUAGGCGGCCUGCUAAGUCGGACGUGAAAUCCCUCGGCUCAACCGAGGAACUGCGUCCGAUACUGGUGGGCUUGAAUCCGGGAGAGGGAUGUGGAAUUCCAGGUGUAGCGGUGAAAUGCGUAGAUAUCUGGAGGAACACCGGUGGCGAAGGCGGCAUCCUGGACCGGUAUUGACGCUGAGGCGGCGAAAAGCUAGGGGGAGCAAACGGGG